CACAUUUAAUCUUCACAAUAGCCCCAGUAAAGCAGAUAUUACUAUUCUCAUUUUACAAAUGAGGAAAUUGAGGCUUAGAGAAAUAGAAUAACUUGUGAAAUUAAAAUAGCUAACAAAUGGAAGAGCUGGGAUUUAAAUUUUAUUUUUGUGGGGCUAGAGUUUGUUCUAGUUCAUAGCUCCACACUACACUGACCCAGGCUUCACAGCUGAUUGCUGCUUGCUCAACUAAGCACUUGGUUCAAUUGUGUCAUCAGGACAUUGGAAAGUAAAGAGUGUUUGCAUUGCAAGUGACAUCUGGCUGACAGGAACUUGGAGAAAUGGGAUACGAAGUGAAUGCUGCAGUUACCACAAGCAUCAUAUUUAUCAAAAGGUUUAAGGUUGGCCUGUCUUUGUUUAACAUAUGAAACUUGGAACAGUGAUGGGGAAGCGCUAUGUUUUGGUGUUGCGUGCAUUUUUUAACUGAGCUUUUUAGUAAAAGAGUAGUCGGAGAAUAAACACUAAUUGUAUUA
rnacentral:lncRNA from 1 species